UUUAACUAAAACCGCCACUUAUUACAAAUAAUAAUCAUCCCACUCAUUUCCCAAUAUUCUUUAAUUUCAGUAUAAAAGAGCAUAACCUCUUGGGGCUCCGCUGCUUCAGAGCAGAGUGGAGAAAGCAGUCUUUCAGUAUCUCUGGGGAGCUCGUACACACGGAAUGGCUAGAGUAUGCAGCAGGGCAAGGAGGCAUUUAAUUGGUUCUUUCCAAGCAGACCGCCAGGCAGUUUGUGAGGGACGCCAGAAGCAGCAGCCUCCUCUUCCACUCCAGUAGACCCUAUCACUGCUGCACCCGUGGGCCAGGACCCUGCAGCACGGCGGCAGCUGAGACCAGGGCAGAGGGGGAACAGGGCAGAGGGAAAAGGCAAGCAGCUAGAGGGGAAAGCAGCACCAGGAGGAUGGUGAUGGAUGAACAGUACUCCACAGGAUCAAUCGGGCACUCGUUGCCACAGCAGAUCAUCUAAUGUGCUGCUGCACCAACUCGUCCCUGCCCCCCAUAAACCACAUCACCCCCACAGCCUAUAUGGCACCUUUUUGCCAGAUAUAUAGAGAGAGGCAGACUGAAAACAGAGCGAGGAAGGACACAUGAGAGGGAAAGUAAGCUGGUGAGGAAGCAAGAGAGAGAGGGAGGGGAGGAGGUUGGGGGGGUAUAGUGGGAGGAUGUAUUGAUUGUUUUCACUGGGGUAUAAUUGCAAUUAAAGGUUGCAAACAGACCAGCAGAUCAGUUUUGCAGCUGUCACCCAACAGGCACGUGGAAACAUUGAUGCAUCCUUACACAUUUCCUCGGCCAGCUGGGAAAAGUGUUAAUACACUGACUGUCCCUGUAGAGUGUGUGUGGAUUAGUGCCAGUCGGCUGUCAUUAAGAGCUGCAAAAUCUCACACAUUAUAAAGUAUUUUACUGACAACUAACACCACAGCCACAAACAGAUAUAGGCAGAAGUAUCAGUGUUACACUCUUAGAUCAGAAGGAGAUUCAUUUCCCGACAUUUCAUCCCUGCAUUUCAAUGAGAUUCUUGUCCUAAUGUUAAAAUCCAAAUGUCCUUAUUGCCCUUUUGUUCUUGUCAUCUUUCUCUGGUGUUGAAAUUGUUGAUGGCUGUAUUACUCAACCUCCCCAGUUAUUUAUUAUCUUUCGAAAAGUUUGUUUGGUGAACAGUACAAAUGCUCAUCAACAGCAAGAGAGGGUUAUGGACACAAAGGGCUGUUAUAUGUUUCAGGAUAUGAGUUGUUUUUUUUGGGAAUCCAGAACACCAUGAAGAAAGAAAGAACGGAUUGUUUUGUAAGUGACCGAAAUAACAAUGCAAAGGCCUUAUGAGAAACAGCAUGGCUCCAUCAAAAUUUCCUUUUUGUUGAACUAAGGUCACUGUUGAACUAAGGCCUGUAGAAAUAGCAUUCUACAAAUCAAAACGUUUGUAGCUUAAGGAUAUAUUUAAUAAAUGUCUGGGCAUAUGUGAGUGUUGUGUUUACAGCUAGUUUUUCUGCCCUCAAAUGGCUAAAAAAAAAUCAAUUAAUAUUGCUUAAAAGACUUCACUCACUUGCCUCACACAGCAUUACAUGGCAGCACUAUUAACAAAAUAUGCUGGAAUGAAUAACUGUAUACUAACAGUAAUAGUAGUUUCUAAUCUUAAUGGGGUUUCAAUCUUUUAGCUUUGCGAUGGCAACAGUUUGAGCUUUUCAAACAGUGUCACAUUGGCAUAAUCAACAGUUACUUUGCGAUAACCCUGCAUCACAAUCUAUCACAGACCCAAUCAGUGCAUCCCAUUAAUUUUUUUGGGAACUUCAAUUUCCUGCCCAUGUGUGCGAGACAUCUUUAUGGGAACCAAAUUGACUAUUCAUUAACGAGGGGAAGCUGUAUCAAGAGCAAACAUCUUUAAUUAACACAUCCCCAGCACUUCCUGUCUUUGAUCUCCCCAUUUGAUUUAUGCCUCUGCAAGAAAAGAUUGGGGUGGCAGAGGGGUCCACGAGGAGUUCGGAGGGGACGAAGACACUCUGUGAGAAAAUAGCGUGCAGCCCCUGUUGAUCAGGAGGUGUUGCAGCAUUAGGACCUUUUCCAUGUGUGUCAUGGGGCCAGCUCCAUUACCAGUCAGCGCGGCUAUCUCUUUAAUAGGCUGAUAAGGCAAUAAUCCAGAAUCCAUACACUUUUAAUGACUUUCCGUCUAAUUAGGACUGCUUUAUAAAAGACAGACAUCAGAGGCCUUCCCAUUGUCAGAAACCUAUUGUUGGAAAUAUCAGCAUUUAAGAGCUAGCAAAUGGCUUUUUAAAAGUGUUAAUAUAUUUUACCUCAAGAAGUUCUGUGCAAAAAAAAAAUCAUCAAGUAGUCCAUGUACGGUAUAACUGUUCAAUGUCAUAGAAGUCAGAACAAAGUAGAAGAGAUAAAUCUUCUCACACUGGAUUUACAUCUUUCCAGUUGGGAAUGUAGAUUUUGACUUUGUGUUCAAAUGAUUGUAAUCUCAGUUUAGUAUUACAGCAAAAUCUGUAUUUACAAUAGACUUUUAUGAAGA